rnacentral:rRNA from 1 species
UACGUAGGGUGCAAGCAUUAUCCGGAAUUACUGGGCGUAAAGCGUUACGUCGGCGGGAAGGUAAGUAGUAGAUCUAAGCCUGGGGCUCAACCCCAGACCGGUUUGCUAGACUGCCUUUCUUGAGUAUGUUAGAGGGAACUGGAACUCUUUGUGGAGGGGUGAAAUCCGUAGAUAUAAAGAGGAACGCCAAGGGUGAAGACAGGUUCCUGGGACAUUACUGACGCUCAUGUACGACAGCUAGGGUAGCAAAAGGG